rnacentral:rRNA from 1 species
GCGGCCUAUCAGCUUGUUGGCGAGGUAAUGGCUCACCAAGGCGACGACGGGUAGCUGGUCUGAGAGGAUGACCGGCCACAUUGGGACUGAGACACGGCCCAGACUCCUACGGGAGGCAGCAGUGGGGAAUAUUGCGCAAUGGGCGAAUGCCUGACGUAGCGACGCCGCGUGUGGGAUGAAGGUCUUCGGAUCGUAAACCACUGUCAGAGGGGACGAAGGCCCGGAGCUAACUACUAUCGGGAUUGACGGUACCCUCGGAGGAAGCACCGGCUAACUCUGUGCCAGCAGCCGCGGUAAUACAGAGGGUGCGAGCGUUGUCCGGAAUCACUGGGCGUAAAGGGCGUGUAGGCGGCUGGAUAAGCCGCGUGUGAAAUCCCGGGGCUCAACCCCGGAACGGCACGCGGGACUGUUCGGCUAGAGAAUGGUAGAGGCAAGUGGAAUUCCUGGUGUAGCGGUGGAAUGUGUAGAGAUCAGGAAGAACACCGGUGGCGAAGGCGGCUUGCUGGGCCAUUUCUGACGCUGAGGCGCGAAAGCGUGGGGAGCAAACAGGAUUAGAUACCCCGGUAGUCCACGCUGUAAGCGAUGGGUGCUAGGCGUCGGGGGGAGCGACCCUCCCGGUGCCGUCGCUAACGCAAUAAGCACCCCGCCUGGGGAGUACGG